UCCAAAUCGGAAUUCCACCGAUUUGGCUAACUUCUCUCUCUUUCUUCCUAUCUCUCAAGAAUUGUCAAACAUGGAUGCUGUCUUUCACCCUUUCGCCUUUUCUUUUUCUCAGAAAGAAUAAAGAACCAGCAGCCUUAGGUUGGAAUAUCUUCAGUCCCACUCUAUGCUAAGUAAAAUUUCAAUCGAGUCUACUUCUGAUGUAUCCAGUUACCAAUCGGUCUUCGAUUUUUCGGAUCGUUGAAGAACUGCAAGUCGUUUCACAUAUGGAAAUUGGUGUAUUAGCGGAUCAGCUCAUUACAAAGACAAGAAUCUCAAAUCGUGCUUCUAAAUUUGUAACGAUAUGAUGAAGAAAUCACAGCAAAUGAGGAUGGUGCUCAUCCCAUUGGGAUGAAUGGAACCAUGGGAGGGCAAAUCGAGGAUGAUACUCGCCUCAAACUUCUAAUAGGCACGAUAUGUUCUCUCUUUCAUGCAUUUUUUAUCGACCCGGGUUUCAUUUUGGAGGCCCUAUAUGAGCAUAUAGUUGAGAGCGAGUUGUUAGAUCACUUGAGCUAAGCUAAUUUCUGGAGUCUAAUGCAUUUGCGAGAAAACAAAGUAUUAGUCCCUUUCUGGAUAGGAUAUAUCGCAUAUACAAGUUGCUAUUUCAGUCGUGUCGUCCCAUCUUAGCUAAUUUAAUUUAUUUGUACGACUUUAAUUGUGAAUAAUUUUUGUUAAAAAAAGUCCAAAUUUUUAUUUUGAA